GGAGAAAUCGGAAUGGGAAAUCGCACCGGUUCUGCACGACGCCACUAACGUGUUUCAGUAAUCCCAUCCUACAAAGAUGCACAUGUGCAGCAUUACUCUGAUAUAUUUAGAUGGGCUCUGAGUCACUAGGUUUUGCACGGCAACAUCUGUACUUGAUAUGAAUCUACGAUUGCUCUUAGUGAGAUAGCUGCACGGCUGCGCCUACUCCUGCUGCUGUUUGCCUUUUAAAGUUUAAAUGGAGACACUGUCGAUUAAUUUUAUUUAGAUGUUCUCAUUGUUUUUGUACAAAUUCAUUCUGGAGAGUUUGCAAUUUGAUAUUGUAUUAAAUAUUGGUGGUGUAAGACAAGAUACUCAUGUGCUUUCCUUUGCUAAAAGGAGUAUAUCUGCCUGAAUUCUUCUUUUAAAGAAACAUAUGCAUAUCAUAGAUCUGGGCAGCUUGUCAUGUUCCGAUUCUGAUAGUAGUUUCUUACCUUCACAUUUACAAACUGUGGAUUCCUAUGCCUAAAAAUGACAUUAUGAAUUUGUGUAUGUGCACAUACAUGAACAUCCACAUGU